rnacentral:rRNA from 1 species
AGUGAACGCUGGCGGUAGGCCUAACACAUGCAAGUCGAACGGCAGCACAGUAAGAGCUUGCUCUUACGGGUGGCGAGUGGCGGACGGGUGAGGAAUACAUCGGAAUCUACUUUUUCGUGGGGGAUAACGUAGGGAAACUUACGCUAAUACCGCAUACGACCUACGGGUGAAAGCAGGGGAUCUUCGCACCUUGCGCGAUUGAAUGAGCCGAUGUCGGAUUAGCUAGUUGGCGGGGUAAAGGCCCACCAAGGCGACGAUCCGUAGCUGGUCUGAGAGGAUGAUCAGCCACACUGGAACUGAGACACGGUCCAGACUCCUACGGGAGGCAGCAGUGGGGAAUAUUGGACAAUGGGCGAAAGCCUGAUCCAGCCAUACCGCGUGGGUGAAGAAGGCCUUCGGGUUGUAAAGCCCUUUUGUUGGGAAAGAAAAGCAGCAGGUUAAUACCCCGCUGUUCUGACGGUACCCAAAGAAUAAGCACCGGCUAACUUCGUG